ACAAAAAUGUAAAUGUAAAUGUACUGAGAAAGUGGUCUGAAUACUUGUGAUAGCAAACAUUUCUAAAAACCUGUUUUCGCUUUGUCAUUAUGGGGUAUUGUGUGUAGAUUGAUGAGGGGGGAAAACAAUGUCAUCCAAUUUAGAUUAAGGCUGUAACGUAACAAAAUGUGGAAAAAGUCAAUGUAUGAAUACUUUCUGAAGGCACUGUAUAUCUAAAUGCAGAGAUAUGGACAUAUUGCAAUGCAGUAUAUUGCAGUCCUUUUGUGUACAGUUCAUAGAUGGCUUGAUGCGGUGCGUAGCAUAGAGUGCAUAGUCCUUUGGUCUCUAUGGGCCAGAUGGCUGGUUGUUGAGGGCCACAGCACAGGGGAAGAAAGAUUUCAGGAGGCGGGAGAUUUUGUUCAUGAGUUGCAUUUUUGGAGAAGGGGGUGGGAGUGGUGGGAGUGGUCGGCGAUUAUCUUUCCUGCACUCUUCCUUGCCAUGGAGUCGUGCAGGAUCUCGAUGGAGGGCAGGUGGCAGCCGAUGACCCUUUCUGCAGACCGGACAAUGAGUUGCAGUUUGCUCUUGUAGUGGGCAGACGCAGACCCCAACAAGACGGGGAUUGACUCAACGAUUGAUGCAUAAAACCGGAUCAGUCUUUUCAGCUGCUGCAAGUAGUACAUCCGCUGGUGUGCUUUCUGUGAUGUUGAACAACCAUUUGAAGUUGUGGGAGAUGAUGGUCCGAAGGAAUUUGAAUGAUGCAACAAUGCUUACAGCUGAGCCAUCAAUCUCGAGGGUGAGAGAUGUUGGGGGGGGGUGUUUUCCGAAGUCAACCACCAUUUCCACGGUUUUGUCUGUGAGUUCCAUGUUAUUGCGACUGCACCAGGCCACUAGCCAGUCAACCUCUCCACUGUACAUGGACUAAUCACCGUCGGUGAUGAGACCAACCAGAGUGGUGUCAUCUGCAAACUUGAGUAGUUUGACAGAUACGUUAUUGGAGGUUCAGAGUUGGUGUAGAGUAGAAGUGAGAGCACGCGUGCUUGCGGCGCUCCGAGUCCGAGUUUUCCCAGCUUCACAUGUUGCAUCCUGUUGGUUAGGAUGUCAGUGAUCCACGGACAGAUGGACAGGUUCAGCUGGGACAGUUUUGUCUUGUAGCAGUUCUGGGAUGAUGUAUUGAAUGCAGAGCUAAAGUCCACAAACAAAAUCCUUCCAUAUGUCUUGGGGUUAUCGUGGUGUUUGAGGAUGUAGUGAGGCCCAUGUUGACAGCGUCGUCCACAGACCUGUUAGCUCUGUAGGCAAACUGCAGUGGCUCGAGGGAGCUAUCAGUGAUGGUUUUGAGAUGGGACAGUACGAGGCGCUUUAAGGUUUUCGCGAUGACUGAGGUGAACGCUACAGGUCUGUAAUCAUUCAGACAGGACACAUUUGAGUUUUUUCAGAACUGGAACAAUUAUGUAAACAGGCAAGAACAGUGCAUUGCUCUAGUAACUGGUUGAAUAUGUCCGUGAAAACGGGAGAGCUGGUCAGCGCAGUGCUUAAGUGUGGCUGGUGAGACCUUGUCCAGGCUGGCAGCCUUCCUGCUGUACUGUUUCCUGAAGAGUGUUGACUGUGAUUUAUAUUGUUUUUUUUAGGUGCUGUUUAUAGAGUUCUGAAAAUGGGCAGGGCUGUUGCAUGGCAUUGGAGCUCAGAGCUGGUUAUUCCUGUGCCCUAAGCACAUAGUGGGGCUCCCGAGUGGCGCAGCGGUCUAAGGCACUGCAUCUCAGCGCUAGAGGCGUCACUACAGACACCCUGAUUUGAAUCCAGGCUGUAUCACAGGGUGGCGCUUAAUUAGCCCAGCGUCGCCCAGGUUUGGCCGGUAUUAAGCAUUGUUUAGUAGAGAACAAGGAAAUGUACGCAGAGUGUGGAUGUUUCUGAAGAAUACACAGCACUGUCAGCUUCCAUGCCAAAGACCACAAGGCCGUGGCGUGUGCGUGUGCAUAUGCAUGUGAGUAUGUGCUUGAAUUUAUGCCUUCAUGUGAAAGUGUGUGUGUGUGCAUGCGUGCGUGUACUAACUUUCUCCUGAUGCUAUGCAGCUGCUCUAUCUAACAGAGCAACCAAGCACAGUAUUCAUCACCAAAGACAACAUAAAGGACAACUGUCAUCGGCUCUGGUGAGGUGUCUGGCCUCUGCUGGAACAGUGCCGCAGGUUCAACUCUGGCUGAUUUUCAUACAGUGAAGCACGGAUGGGCCAAAGAGGUGUUUAUUUUGUGGAAUGUCAUGGAUUCACUUCCAGGGAGAGAUGAGGAGAGAUGUUCCCAAUAUAUGGACACGAAUGCGUCAUUAUUUGUUAAUCAUGAGCAUUACUCCAAUAAACUCCUCAUUCAUUGUGUUACAAAUCCUUUGAAGGAUAAAAUAUAAAGUUCAAUGCGAGGUCAACCCAAAGCUAUGAAGUCAAGUGUGAAAACAGUAUUAUUUAUGUGAAAUGAUGCAAGAAACAAUACAUAUCAUGCUGCAUAGUUAGUUCACUGUGUAUGUGUACACUAAGUGUUCAAAACAUUAAGGAUUUGUCGGGGCAUGGACUCUACAAGGUGUUGAAAGCGUUCCACAGGGAUGCAACUCAUGGAAAGAGUAGGUGUCCUUAAUGUUUUGUACACUCAGUGCAUAUCUUUGCUUUUGCAAGUCUUAUUUUUUGCAGGAAAACAGAUGGGACAAUGUUAUGUCUGACUGUGUAUAUGGUGCAGAUAUUUUAGAGUAUGUUGUGUCAUGACACAGCAUGUGCAAUGCAGAUGUAGAGUUUAUACAGUGGUUGAAAGUUGGCAUGUGUUUACUCCAAGGGGAAAUAAAACAUAAAAGGUUACACCAAAA